GAGCGGCAAGCUCAAUUUGAAAUCUGGUACCUUUGGUGCUCGAGUUGUAAUUUGUAGAAGGCGACUCUGGGGCUGGUCCUUGUCUAUGUUCCUUGGAACAGGACGUCAUGGAGGGUGAGAAUCCCGUGUGGCGAGGAUCCCAGUUCUUUGUAGAGUGCCUUCGAAGAGUCGAGUUGUUUGGGAAUGCAGCUCUAAGUGGGUGGUAAAUUCCAUCUAAAGCUAAAUAUUGGCGAGAGACCGAUAGCGAACAAGUACAGUGAUGGAAAGAUGAAAAGAACUUUGAAAAGAGAGUGAAAAAGUACGUGAAAUUGUUGAAAGGGAAGGGCAUUUGAUCAGACAUGGUGUUUUGUGCCCCUCGCUCCUCGUGGGUGGGGGAAUCUCGCAGCUCACUGGGCCAGCAUCAGUUUUGGCGGCAGGAUAAAUCCCUGGGAAUGUAGCUCUGCCAUUUAUGGUGGAGAACUUAUAGCUCAGGGGAAUACUGCCAGCCGGGACUGAGGAAUGCGACU
rnacentral:rRNA from 1 species